rnacentral:rRNA from 1 species
UACAGGGGGUGCAAACGUUGCUCGGAAUCAUUGGGCGUAAAGCGCACGUAGGCGGUUCGUUAUGUCGGAUGUGAAAGCCCUUGGCUUAACCGAGGAAGUGCAUCCGAAACUGGCGAGCUAGAGUACUAAAGAGGAUCGCGGAAUUCCCGGUGUAGAGGUGAAAUUCGUAGAUAUCGGGAGGAACACCGGUGGCGAAGGCGGCGAUCUGGGUGGAUACUGACGCUGAGGUGCGAAAGCGUGGGGAGCAAACAGG